CAAUGGGGCUUUUAGGAGAUUGAUGAACUCCCAGAGGGAGCUGUGAAGCCUCCAGCAAACAAGUAUCCUAUCUUCUUUUUUGGCACUCAUGAAACUGCUUUUCUAGGUCCCAAAGACCUUUUUCCAUAUAAGGAAUACAAAGACAAGUUUGGGAAGUCAAACAAACGGAAAGGAUUUAAUGAAGGAUUGUGGGAAAUAGAAAAUAACCCAGGAGUCAAGUUUACUGGAUACCAGGCAAUUCAGCAACAGAGCUCUUCAGAAACUGAGGGAGAAGGAGGAAACACUGCAGAUGCAAGUAGUGAGGAAGAAGGUGAUAGAGUAGAAGAAGAUGGAAAAGGCAAAAGAAAAAAUGAAAAAGGAGGCUCAAAACGGAAAAAGUCAUACACAUCAAAGAAAUCCUCUAAACAAUCCCGGAAAUCUCCAGGAGAUGAAGAUGAUAAAGACUGCAAAGAAGAAGAAAACAAAAGCAGCUCUGAGGGUGGAGAUGCCGGCAAUGACACAAGAAACACAACUUCAGACUUGCAGAAAACCAGUGAAGGGACCUAACUACCGUAAUGAAUGCUGCAUAUUAAGAGAAACCACAAGAAGGUUAAAUGUUUGGUUGUCUAAUAAUCUUGGAUUUGAUAUGAACCAACACAUAGUCCUUGUUGUCAUUGACAGAACCCCAGUUUGUAUGUACAUUAUUCACAUUCCUCUCUGUUUUGUUGGGAAAAGAGACAUUUUAACCUUUUUUAAAAGGUUAUUGAUUUAAUUUCAUGUUAUUUGGUUGCAUGAAGUUGCCCUUAACCACUAAGAAUUAUCAAGAUUUUUGCACAGACUUAUACAUGUCUAGGAUAUUUCUACCAAGGCAGUUAUGUUCAUCAUUUUCCUGCCUUUACCCCCCACCACCACCAAACACUUGCUUACAUAUUAAUUAGCAUUAUUUUAGAUGACCAUUCCAUAAUGCUUAAGGAUGGAAUUUCCUCUUUUUGACAGAACCCAGGAAGUACAUUCCUAGAUACAUAAUGUUGGUAUAUCAAAGAUGAAAUUAAAAUUGUCCUUCAGUUUUGAGGCCCUGUGUAAAGUUUUAACCACAUUGUACAAUAUCUAUUCUGUAUUAGAAAUAGCUAGUUGACAGCUUAUACUUCUCAAAACUCAUGUUGUUAUGUACACAAAUUGAGUUUCUAUAUGUGAAGUUAGUGAGUCUUUUUGUGUUACUCCAAAAUAAAGGCAAUGAUUUAUUUUUUCCCAAUGCCAGUACAAUUUGAGCUAAUCACUCAAGGUGGAUACUUUUACAUUUUAAGGCUGGAAUCACCAGCAGCCCUGUGGAAAACCAGACAAAGCAUUGACUUUUAAAUAGAGACUUUUAAAAUGAACUGUUUUCUUUUGGAACUAGAAUUAGAAUAGUUAAUAUUCACCCAUAAACCAUUAUUAUGUGUACAUUAUUGUUGCUAUUGUGAUAAUAGAGAAUUUUAUUUAUUUUUAUGCCAGCUUAUAUUGUGAAAACACAUUUAGUCAAUUUGAGUUUUAUCAAUCCUGUUAUGCUUGUCCUUGGAACAUCUUUGCGUAUUCGAGGUUUGUAGUUGAAGAGUUUACUGUAAAAAAAGAAAAAAAUCAAAAACAAAAAAAAAUGUAUUGUUUUUACAGAAUAAAUUUAUUGGAAUGUGUACUGGGAGUAAGCUUUGAGGUUGUAAACAACUAAGGUAGUGUAAUUUGGCUUCAUAUAUGUAAUGUGAGGUAGUAAUGUAAUUCAUAUAUUAAAGCAAAAAUUGUUAAUAGCAGGUUAACAGUAGAAUCAAGAGUGCAGGCAAAGGUUUUCUUUUUUUAAAACACUCUCUGGGUCUUAGGUUAUUUGAAAACACUGGGAGGCAAGGGGAGUGACAACAUGAUUUGUACACCUAAGAAAAUAUUUACCAGCUCAGUGAACCCUAAAUUCACACAUUUGACAUUAUCCAUGCGUUGAUCUGUAUCCUCUUUGCUUUCAGCUUUCUCAUUUUGAUGAAGAGCUAAUGAACAUGAAGAGAAAAGAAAGUAUAAGGAAACCUAAAAGCCCAGGGGCAUUAAUAAAUAAUAGGGGUCAUGAGGUAGCUGAGGCCAUAAUGAAAACACCAAUUCACUUGGAAUCCCAAGGCACACUGAGGAGGCAGCUAUGUUUUGGGUUUGAUUCUGUUUGAGAAAAUAUCAAUUGUGUCUAUUGUACUCACAAUUCCAAAUAUGAAAAGUUCAUAAAAAGUAAGGAUGCCAAUCUGGUUCUCUUUCCUUAGGAGCUAUCUUUUAAUUUUGAACAUUUUAUUUUAAAAUUAAUGAAAUUUAAUUAAUUCACCAAAAGAUCUCUUGAAUGCUUGCACUAAAACACAGAUGACAUUUUCAAUUGGAACAUAUAAAUGAUAUUCUAAAGUAAAAAGCCAAAACUUAUCAUGAAAAUAUAUAUGUAUGUAUAAAAUGUCUCAAAUUUAACAAGAUUUAUCUUCAUAAAACACCAAAAAUAAUUUUAUUAAAAAUACAACAGAAAUACAAUAGAAAUAUUUCCAGACACCAAUAAAACAAGUGUUCAUUAAGGGUAAAGAUAAAGUUAAUCAGUCUCACUUUAGCUAUUCAGAUUCACACAAAAAGUUUUAGUAAAAGCAAUUUUAAAAUAGCAGUAAGUAAUAUACUUUCCUUGAAAAACAUUUUUCAAACAUUUAAAAAUAUUAGGAUAAUCUGCAUUUUAUAUUGAGGUUGAUAAUAAAGCAUAUACAUCUUAAAUGCAGAAGUUAUUUCUCCAACCUGUGAUUGCUGUUUUGAAUUUUUUUAUAUGCAUAGACCACAUUCAUCUCUGAAGUUACAUUUUUAUGCUCACUAUUAUAGGCACUGAAUUGUAAUUUUUCACACUUAUUUUAGUAUGUGCAAACAAAAUAUUGAGCUAGAUGGUCAGGUUUAUUCACAGAUAAUUUUUGUUUAAAGAGAUAAUUUGUUUAAACAAGCUGUAUCUCAACAACUUCAGUUUUCCUUCAAAAAAAUUUACUCACACAAUGUCAUAUAAUUAUAGCUCAUACAUACAAUACAGAGCAAGAAUUUGUGACAGUACCAUAUUACAGCUCACAUGUAAACUACAGAGCAAGAAUUUGUUUUCUUACAUAUUAUGUAUGAGAAAGAAAUGGAACAAAAUAUCAGUACCAACAUAGCAGUCACUAAUCUAGAGAAGAAAAACAUCAAGUGAUAUUUUUAUUCCACUUUUUCAUCUGCCUUUGUUUUUAUGAAGAACUCUGGUUUGUAGAUACAGCGAUAAGCCAAGAGCUGAGGAAGAACUCCAUAUGCUAUGUUCAAUGCUAAAAAAAGGAUUUUUGCUUCUUCAGGGACUCUGUAGACAUAAGCGGUUCUGGCAUGAAGAGAAGCACCAAUGUGAGAAAACUGAGCCUGUUAUAUUUAAAAAAAAAAAAAUUGGGUAAGCAUGAAAUUUGUGUUCAAUUGGAUGAAUGAUGAGUUCUGGAUGGCUCAUUUAGACCAUGUUUCUCUGCCCUUGAAACCAGUCUUAUUCACAGACAAAAUACCUUCAAACAAACCACAGUCUUUUAAUGAGUUUUCAUUAAGUUUAGGGUCAUUCUUGAUACUGUUCAAAUAAAAUAUACUUUCUUUAGUGUGGUUUUUAUCAAGGCAAUUGUGUUUUUUAACUGAUUCAGUGCCCCAUAAUAAACAUUGAUUAGUGGCUCAAUUCAAUGGAAAAAUCUGAAUAAAACCUCCAUCCUCCAUUUCUUUCUGAUUUGCAUUCUGGAAAUCCUGCAAAGAUUCAGCUAUGCUUACAAAUUAUAUUCCAAUAAAAAUUAUAUAUAGAUAUAUUUAGCAUAACUAUUGAAAGAGAAGCACUGAGGACCUCAGCUUCAUUUAUCAGUCAUCCACUUUUUGGAGCAAGAGCUUAAAGCCUUUUCAUUAUGUAUAUAUAAAGUUUGUUUUUUAUGCAACUUUAAAAAUACGAAGGGUUGUGUUUUAAGAUAAGGUUGUUAACAGCUUGGAUAGGGGUACAGGUAUGAUUGUUCUUUAUAAAACGACAAAUAUAUGUGCAGGCAACCUUUUAAAAUCAAAUUGUAAGUUACUUAGAAGAGUGACUUAUCAGCAUAAUUUGAGUUCACAAAACAGAAAGGCAAGGGCCUCCUUGUAUACCUACAUACUUCUUCAGAACACACAUCCAGUUGGUCAUUUUUGAUACUUUUCAUAAGCACAGAGGGAAACUAUUAGAAAUGGAAAUGCAGGCUGCAGCAAAAUUAAAAGAUCCUGAGAGAGAAUUCCCUCAGGAAGUUGGUGUCAUUUUAGAAUGCAACCCUCAAGUCUGUUAUUUUCAUGAACAAGGGAUUGGGAAUCUAAGUGUAACAAGUAGUAAAUUAUUAGAUCAACAGGGUCAAAGUGAAAUCUAAAGAAGACAAAUAAUUUUAAAAUGAUAAACUAUUCAAAUAAUUUGCUUCAAGUACAUUUAGGUUAUUCAUUUCCAUCUAUGUGAAACCAACAUUCAGAUAAGUGGUUAACAGAUAAAAAUAUUAACACCCAAUUUUACCAUGACAAGAAAAGGGCAAGCUUUUAUAAGCAACAUGUUUAUGAAUUUGUAUAAUCAGCAGAUACUUUAAUGGGCUAUAAUUUUACAAAUUAUUGAUAUAUUCUGGAUACCUCUGGUACAUAUUUGCUACUCUCUGGAGAUAGUAAUUUUUUUUUUAAUUACUCUGGUAUGUUGCCAAGGGCCAAGUGGAUUAUUGACAUUGUGACCCAUGAGGCACCCAGAGGGCUCUGCCUUCAGAUACAUUUCCCUGGGCAGAUUCCCAAAUCCAGCAAGUGUAUUAAUCCCUGGGCUACAAAGACAAAAGAUCUUGAGAGUAAAGAGCACUUUGGGUGCUGCCCUGAGGAGCUGCUGUUGUGGGUAUUUCUAGGAGCUCUGAACAGUGGUUCCUGUCACUAGUUUUUCCUAGCGCUUAUUUUGAAUAAGUGUUUUUUUGAAUAUAUAACUUAACUUUUUCUUCUGGACUGGAGGCCAGUUUUGAACCCUGGUUUUCUCAUAAAUGUGGGUUUGGUAGCUCUAUCUUUAUAGACACUUUUACACACCACUAAAUCACCAGAUUUGGAAAAAGCCAACCAUACUUUGAGAAAUUAAGUAAUAUGAGCAGUCGUGCUUACUUGCAUAAGGAAGCUUGCAUAAAAAGUCAGUGUUUCUGUGGGCCCUUUUCCUGCACUAAUCAGUGCAGUUAAUACCUCAUUUUCAUGAUCAGCAAACCCAUGGCAACAUUAAAAAAAAUGAUUCAUGUCCUUAGAUUAGAUUGUAAGCCCUCUGGGCAGGUACCAUGUCUAAUGUUUUGUGUGGCACUAUCGCUUUGUUAGAGCUCAAUAAACAUUCAACAACAA